GAUGAGAAUUUAUUGAAGCACCAAAGACAAAAAGCCUUCAGGAAAAUGCUCCUAGGACAUGUGGUACUCUGUGGAGAUGAACUGAAUUUGGCAGAGAAGCUGUCUUGGAAUACUGAGCAUUGUGCCUGACUAAAGCAGAAACACAGUUGGAAGCUGUGCAAGCACUUGAGGACUCUGAUUGGAAGAAAAAUUACCCAAACAGCUGAGACUAUUUUAUGAAAGCUCAAAGAUGAUACCUCCCAGGAAAUAGAUUGACAGCGCUGCAGAAGGAACUUCAUUUGCAUUUUGCAUGGCGCAGCCCACAGAAGAAGGGAUGUUACUAAUUCUUUGGUAAACCUGAGGAAAGAGGAGGCAGACAUCCUUCAUCUUUAGCCUUGUGAAGGGAUUUCAGCAGCAGGAAGGUGUCCAAAGAAAGGAAGAGUUCGUGUUGCAAGGCAAACUCAAGAGCAGAGCAUGUUUGACCUGCUGAGAAGUGGACAAGGGAUCAAAUGGAGAAGUUGUGAAGAGAAAGGGACAUACAGGAAAAAGACGUUGGACAUGGUGCAAAAGCUGAUAAAUGUUCUGGAGAACUUUGUUGCACUUCACUCACAUGUAACAUCCUAAAUCAAUCCAGUCCUGUAGCCUUCUGUUCCUCCAAAUGUAAGGAAUAGGUAGAUGUUCCACCCCAAGAUAAGGGAGCACAUACAGUCUUGCUUGCACAUUUCUGAACCCUUUACAAAAACGUGUCCAGCCUCCACAUCAGGUCUUCUGUUCCAUUUUUGUUCUUUCAGUUUGCACUGUUGUGUUGUGCCCAAGCAGACGUUUUAGUCAUAAUCUGGACUUAACUGGAAAGAACUAUUAAAGUGUAGGUGUCCCUGGUGAUAGCCAUUUGUAAUAAAAUUGAAGUACAUAAACUAUAUAGUAAAUUGUAUUCAUUUUAUUCAUUCCACUUUCAUAAAGUUUCUUCUGCAUCUAUGCUCGUAAAACAUGAGCACUGAAUUUCUCUGAAUCCAGAUCGUUGGAUCUUAGAUAUAAAUGAAAAAGAGAGAGAUUAGCUGUUCAAAAUAUUCCAAAAAAUAUUCCAAAGUUGUCUUUUUCUACUUCCAUCUAUUCUCUCAGAUGUUGUGAAGUUGGACAAAACUCAGCAAACCCAUGAGGCAGAUAUUAUAGCAGGGUAAGUAACUUGUCGAAUAAGGGGGUGGUGAGCUGUAUGAUCAGACCUGAGUAGCACGAAGGCAAGCUGGACUUGAUAAAAGCUGGAAGUUUCUGCUUUGCUUGAGGUAGGAUGCUGCUGGUGAGCAGUUGGCUUAGUCUUUGCUCAUGACAAACAACACUUCAUCAUUAAUGUUCUACAUUUGAAGAAGGAAGAGAGGACUGUCUGGUGCACUGUUCUUGGAGGCUUGCCAGCUCCUGCCUUAAAGCAGACUCUAACCUAUGAUUAAACACCUCUGCUUUCCUUUCUGUCUUCCAAAUGUUCACUGAUCAUUCUGCCUCAGCUGAAGAUAUUUAAAUGUCUAGAAAAGCUUCUGAAAAGCCAACAAAACAAAGACACGUUCUUACAAGAUUGCACUUUAGUAUUACCACGCCAUUUUGAUCUGCUUUACUGUGUAAAAAAAAAAUGGUUUUUGCCACCAGACCUUUUCUAAGCCACUCCAUAUAACUGUCAGCAAACUUCCUAUGAUGUCAAAUGUUGUAUGCUGCCUUGAUGAGCAGGGAAGGCUUGGUAUUAGGAUCCUUAAACAGUUCAUCUUUGUUCUGUGCAGCAAGUGGGGGAAACCUGUUGAUCCUCAAAACUUCAUUCACAAGAGCAUGGAAGUGACCUGAGACCUGGCUUGGAGGACUAGUGACAGCUCUGUGGGUCCUCUCUCUCAAUAGCCUCUUGUAGAUGCAGCUGUCAGAAGUUUUACAAAAACAUGGUGAAGCUCUGGUCUGGACUCAAAGACAAGUAUGAAUGCAUACCAUUGUGAUAAUUAUAUUUUACACCUACAAAGUGACAUGCUUGAGGACAAGUUAUGAUAUUAAGAAGUGCACUAGUCCAUCUGAAGCUUUGCCCGUUGAAGAUCUGUCCCAUGACUGUUGCUAGUGUAGCUGAAAUAUUGUUUUAUUCCAGAUUGUUACUUCCGUAGGAACUGUUUAAAAAUGGAAGUGCACAGUGUUCCUCAUUAACAGUCGUAACAAAAGACAAAGCCUGUACUGUGAUGUAAAAACAGUGGUAGUCCCACAUGCACUUUGACUCAUAAUAGUUUCUGGUAAGGAUGCAGUCUCCUGGGUGAACUGUCCUUUUCUAGUAGCAGUGCUGUCGUUCCACAAGGGAAGUGGCAUAUACACUACGACUGAAACUGUGUUAAUAUGAAUUUUCAAUUAGGAUCUUUGUCUAACUACAGCAAAACAAAACUUCAAACCAGAAUCUCUUUUUGAGAAAAAAUCUUUCCUGAUUAGACCAGCUCUUGAGUACAUGGAAAGCGAGUGAAAGAAAAUCGAGGGUUAUUUGUAUUAAAUCUUUCAUAUUCUUGAAGAGCACUAGUUUGUAAGUUCUAAGAUAUAAUAGAGAUGCUGUGUUUAAUACUAUGUGAGUUUGUUAUACGUAACUUUUCAGUUACACUUGUUUUUACCAGGGGACCCAGUUUUGUAGGACAGUGAAUCUGUGGCCAUAUUGACAUUUGCUAUCAUUGAUAAAGGGUAAAAAGCUGCACCUAUCUGUAAUUAGCAGCCCCAGUCAGGUAAUUUAGGCUUACUUUCAUCUACUGACAAAACCUCUUUGUUCCCUCUUGAUAAAAAGGAAGGGAACAAUGUGCUUAUCCCAAAUCCACGUUCUAAGGAAAAGGUACAUUCUGUCAUACUGCCAAGAAAGGUUAUAAUUUAUUUUUUAAAAAAUCUCUAUUUGACAGCUCUAUUAGCUUGUUGCCUGGGAAGCUGAGAGUCAUUUGUUACAGGAAUGCCCACACUUAAGUGGCUGGAAGAAAGUAUGGUACAACCUUUUUAAUAAGUCCAAAUAUUGACCUUCUUAUUUGUAGGUCUCUUUUAGCAAGGGAGUUGGCUGCCAACUGCUUCAGAGCCUUCAGGAGCAACAGAAACUCAGAUCCUCGUAUUUAAACUUCUCUGCUUCUCUAAGCCAGUGGCCUGCUUCCAGUGAACAGUGCUUUGCAGAGCUGUGCUCUAGUUGCUUUUCUUGUUGUUUUCUUUCCUUGGUUUGUUUGCUGGCACUUAAUCCUUCAGCACAGCCUGCAGGUCUAGCGUCAUAACUUGUCUAGAGCACCCCCUUAGAAAUUAAAAUAGCCAUUCUUUUUUGCUUUGUCCCUUCCGUUCUCGUGCAACAAUUAAGUUAGCCUAUGUAAGUAUGGGCUUAUGACAUCUACAUAAUCAGGAUCCCUGUAUGCCUUGCGAUGAUACCUCUCCUGUAAUAUAGAGGCAGAUACUGUCUUUGCUGCACACAGGAGGAGGCUGCUGAUAAUCACUCCCAAGCUUGUGGUCUCAGUACGCCACCCUUGCUAGCAAACUUUUUCUGUCUUCCUCUUCACUAGUUACUUUUUUAAAGCAAAGUCUACAUUUAGCAAAAAAUAUUCUGCAUUUUGGUGUUCCCAAAAACACCCAAUAAUCCUAGUUGUAUAGGUAGUGUACAUGACUAUGUCUUGAUUCAGUUGUGCCUAUCUUCCCAGUAAAGCUAAAGAAAAGAGCUCUUUAUCAGACCAUAGUUUUUUUUCGUAAAGAUCUGGCCUGCCUCCAGAAUUCCAUAAGUAGAAUAAGAUAUUCUCUUUGUUUUUAAAAUAUGAUAUGAUGUGGCGUGCUAUCUGUGUUAGCAGCGUGGUACGCUUGAUGACCUGUGUCCAGAAACACAGGCAUAUUUGUGGAUUCUUUUAGCAGAUAACCAUUUAUGACUCAGAGGAAGAUUUAAUUGAAACCACAUUUCUGAAAUUGUUGGUUUUUUUUUUUUCCUCCCUUGGCUAAGUCACAAUCACAGCAAUUCUAAUUAUUGCUGUGCUAGUUGCGCAGCAGAGUUUAAACUCUCUCUCAUAGUCAACCUUAAUACAAUGAUCUGGUGUUUGUUGUUGCACGUUUUCCUUGGUUUCACUAUUUCAAACUCCUUAGGAGGUUUGGCAGGAGAUAGCUGUCCUGACAAUGGCAGUUCUGGGCUGGCUGAGAUGAUUUUUAUACUUUUCUGGAAUCUUUAUAUGUUACUUGCCUUGACAUGAAAAUGUGGUACCUUGGGUUAUCAGCCACAUCCUGUGCAUGCAUGCAUCUGCAGUGUCCUAUCUCCUGAUGUGAGUUCUGGUUGCAUCAUUUCCUUAAAAAAAUGAUUGGGAAUCCCAAAAACUUCCUCAUCUACAACAGAAAAGUUUUACUCUGCUGACUUCUGAGCAUCAUUCAGAAAUGCUGGGCUGUUGAAAACACUUCCUCAGAAAUCUGUCUCUUGGCAGUUUCAGUUGCUUUCCAUCAUCUUUACAACAAUUAUAUUGUUAUGUAUUGUUAGGUAAUAACUUUCUAAUUUUUAUAUAGGCUUUUUUAGAGCAAGACUGUAUACCUUACCAGUUCCUCCCUCUAUUUCAUUCCACAAACAUAAUUAUGUAUUUUAUUGUAAGGUUUACUACACUGUUACCUGAAUUCAUUGGCAAGUGGUGUCUUUGAUUAGUAGUGAUCUUGAGAGUGAGACUGUUCUUGAUAAUGAGACUGUAGGCUGGGAAGGAAAUAUGGCAGGUACCAAGUUCUGAGAUUGAUGCCAAACUAUGUAAGAUGGCAGAUAGAUAAUAGACGCCUAUAAAGCAUAUCUGUUUGGAAUAAACAUUAGGGAUGUUGUUUAAAA